AUUAUCAAAAAUCUCCCUCGCUCCCGAAAUCACGCCGCAUCCUCUCUUCAGCCAACGUCGCCCACCCGCUCGUCACCGAUUCCCCAUCCACGAUUUCUCUCCUCUCCCGCGCCGCCCCUCCGUCGUCGUCGCGUGAAGUCCUGGCCGAUCCCCUCCGUCGUCGUCGCGUGAAGUCCUGGCCGAUCCCCUCCGUCGUCGUCGCGUGAACUCCUCGCCGAUCCCCUUCCUCCGUCGCGCCGUCACGCCGCCGAUUCCCCCCUCCUCGUCGGGCGCGCCGCGGGGUUCAGUCGGCGCCGAUCCCCAUCCCCCAGGUCGCCGUCGCCGAUCCUGCAUCUCCUCUGUCCCGUCCUCGCCGAUCCCCCGCCUCCCUCGCGCCGUCACGCCGCCGAUUCUCGCCUCUCCAAGACCGGUAUUCUUGCCUUUUUGUACAAUGCAACUGUGUAUAGACAUAUCCUAGCAGGGAUAGAAGUUUCAGUUUUUUUAAUUAAUGUGUCUUGUGUGAGACCAGUGCAAGGGGAUCCACAUUGUUCUUGAUUUUGUUUUGGUUUCAAGUUUGCUGGUGCAUGUGCAUGUAUAUGAUAACUAUUGCUCCUCGAUGACUGGGUCGCUGUUGAAGGCUCAGUUUUGGCAAGUUUUGAAUUCGAGCUCGAUGGCCGGGUCCCUGUUGAAGGCUUUCAGUUUUGGCAAGUUCUGAAUUCGAGCGAGCUUUCAUUUUUGCAUCUUCCCCAGAUCACUGCUGGUCAACAGGUCAACAAAAGAGGCAGUGGAGACUGAGGAGGUCGCCAUCCACAACCGACAACGACAACGCGACGCCGCUGCCGCCUCAAGAGCCACCGCUGCCUAUCCAUACUCACGCCACCGUUCCUCCUGCGCCGAAAGGUACUUUCAGCGAACAAGAAUCUUACUCCAUUAUAAGGAAUCAAACCAAUCGUGAAGGUAGCUGGUACUUUGAGAACUGUCAGAUAUGCAAAUCUGGCUAAAUAGUCAUCCAUGUGAAAUGCCUUAAUGAACUCUGUAUUUAUAUAGAUGAGAUAGCUCAUUUAGAGAGUACAUACAUGAUGUGGGUUCUUCGAUCCAAUAAACUCUGUAGUGUUGAUCCAUUUAUAUAUAAUUCUCCCUGUUGUGCUGAUCCAUUUAUAUAUA